rnacentral:rRNA from 1 species
ACGAACGCUGGCGGCGUGCUUAACACAUGCCAGUCGAACGGAAAGGCCCUGCUUUUGUGGGGUGCUCGAGUGGCGAACGGGUGAGUAACACGUGAGUAACCUGCCCCUGACUUUGGGAUAACUUCAGGAAACUGGGGCUAAUACCGGCUAGGAGCUCCUGCUGCAUGGUGGGGGUUGGAAAGUUUCGGCGGUUGGGGAUGGACUCGCGGCUUAUCAGCUUGUUGGUGGGGUAGUGGCUUACCAAGGCUUUGACGGGUAGCCGGCCUGAGAGGGUGACCGGCCACAUUGGGCCUGAGAUACGGCCCAGACUCCUACGGGAGGCAGCAGUGGGGAAUAUUGCACAAUGGGCGGAAGCCUGAUGCAGCAGCGCCGCGUGCGGGAUGACGGCCUUCGGGUUGUAAACCGCUUUCGCCUGUGACGAAGCGUGAGUGACGGUAAUGGGUAAAGAAGCACCGGCUAACUACGUG